rnacentral:lncRNA from 1 species
GAUGACGACGGUGGUGAAGAGCGUGUUGCAGGCGAUCAGAGAGAAAGGUCUCCGCAGUCUCUUGAGGGAGGCGAGGGAAGAAGGUUACCUGAAAUGUCUAGCUGAUGGAAACCUUCUGUAAGUCAUUAUUUCACUUAUACUUGAAUGCUUUUGUUACUUGAUAUGUUUGUUUAACAAAGAAGCAAAGCUACUUGGUUAUAUGAUAGUUUGAUCUUUUCAAGAAUGGGGAAAUACCCUUGAUUUUUCUUUUGGUGAAGAGGAAUAUCCUUGAAUAAAAGGUGCAAGGAUGUCUUGUUUGUUAUACUGUCCCAUCUUCUGGACAUGCUCAACAAACUAUCUUGUGUGUUCAUUCAGGCUUUAAGUCACAUAGAACAUAUUAUCGUAACAGAGUCACAUAGAACAUAUUAGCAACCAAAGGUAGAUGAACCUUGAAGAUAUGCUUUUUCUGUUUUGUUUUUGCAAAUUCUGGGUGAUGAGGAUGAUGAAUUGCGCUGGCUUAGCUUA